CCUACGGGUGGCAGCAGUAGGGAAUUUUGCGCAAUGGGGGAAACCCUGACGCAGCAACGCAGCGUGAUCGAUGAAGCCCUUCGGGGUGGAAAGAUCUGUCAGUGAGGACGAAACCUGACGGUACCCACCGCGGCAGCACCGGCUAACUCCGUGCCAGCAGCCGCGGUAAUAGGGGGGGUGCAAGCGUUGUCCGGAAUCAUUGGGCUUAAAGGGUUCGUAGGUGGCACGGUAAGUCUGGUGUUAAAGGCGGAAGCUCAACUGUCGUAGGGCAAUUGAUACUGGCGAGCUUGAAUGCGGUAGAGGUAAAGGGAAGUCCUGGUGUAGCGGUGAAAUGCGUAGAUAUCAGGAGGAACACCGGUGGCGUAAGCGCUUUACUGGGCUGUAACUGACACUGAUGAUCGAAAGUGGGGGUAGCAAAUGGGAUUAGAUACCCUAGUAGUC
rnacentral:rRNA from 1 species